rnacentral:rRNA from 1 species
UACGUAGGGCGCAAGCGUUGUCCGGAAUUAUUGGGCGUAAAGAGCUCGUAGGCGGCUUGUCACGUCGAUUGUGAAAGCCCGAGGCUUAACCUCGGGUCUGCAGUCGAUACGGGCUAGCUAGAGUGUGGUAGGGGAGAUCGGAAUUCCUGGUGUAGCGGUGAAAUGCGUAGAUAUCUGGAGGAACACCGGUGGCGAAGGCGGCAUCCUGGACCGAGACUGACACUGAGGAGCGAAAGCCAGGGGAGCAAACGGG